UACGGGGGGGGCAAGCGUUGUUCGGAAUUACUGGGCGUAAAGGGCUCGUAGGCGGCCAACUAAGUCAGACGUGAAAUCCCUCGGCUUAACCGGGGAACUGCGUCUGAUACUGGUUGGCUUGAGUGUGGGAGAGGGAUGCGGAAUUCCAGGUGUAGCGGUGAAAUGCGUAGAGAUGUGGAGGAACACCAGUGGCGAAGGCGACUCUUUGGCCUGUAACUGACGCUGAGGCGCGAAAGCGUGGGGAGCAAACAGG
rnacentral:rRNA from 1 species